UGUUUGUAUAUUUCGGAGAUUAAUCCCUUGUCAGUUGUAAAUAGUUAUAUUCUUUGUCAAGAUCUUAACAUUUAUUAAAGUGAUGUGGUAGGGAGAAAGAAUUGGGUACCCUUUGGAGGCUUAAAAAUCCACCUGUCUGAAUAAAAUUUUAUCCUCCACUGCUUACAGAAUAUAAUGAAAGCCCUUUCCAAAAUGGUUCCUGAUUAGACUUGAUUUCCAAAUCAUUGGAAUUAAAUGUUAUGUGGGAGGAAUAUCAAUUUAUUUUGCACCAUAAUAAUUCAGUUGGCAAAUAUGUAUUUCACGUCUAUUAUUGUACUUUUUAUACUAUGCUCUGAGGCUUACCAAAAAAUAAGCCCCAAAUUUGUAUAAAGCUCUUUUAUCAUGAAGGACCGAAAGUAAACACACAGCCAAUGUACCUAAGCACAGAGCGAAAAGGAAAUAAGCAGUGAGAUUAAGACAAGUGGGCAAAUCCUUCAUGAGGUAUUUUGCCAAAGAGCAUGAAGCUAGUAAAAUAGUGUUUGGAAUAUGUGAUUUCCAUGGGAUAGAAAGUCCACAGAGGAGUUCCCGUUGUGGCACAGAGGAAACGAAUCCAUCUAGGAGCCAUGAGGUUGUGGGCUCAAUCCCUGGCCUUGCUCAGUGGGUUAAUUAUCUGGUGUUGCAGUGAGCUGUGAUGUAGGUCACAGAUGUGGCUCAGAUCUGGCGUUGCUGUGGCUGACGCGCAGGCCGGCAGCUGUAGCUCUGAUUCAACCCCUAGCCUGGGAACCUCCAUAUGCCGAGGGUGCGGCCCUAAAAAAGACAGAGAAUGACAUCAAUUUCUCCAAGAUGGGGACAAAAGCGUUAUGUAAACCAAUUUAGAUCAUUCUAGCUUUAAACUGCUGUAUGAGGGGAUAUACUUAGGGAUGCGAUUUAUGAUCUGCCAGCUGUAUAGUGUAGGGGAGGACUUGAUGGGGCCAGAAAAUUACAAUGAUCCCUCCCAAUAUAAUAUUCCCAUAUAAAAUCUCCAUCUCUGCACUUGCUGCAGAAAAGCAUUUAACAUUAAUGGAUCUGACUUAGGGCUUUGCUAUUACUAUUCCCUGUGCUUCUCCUCAGAGGCCUUUGUAGUCUUAUUUAUAUUUCAGUGCCUUGCCUCAAUUUUUCUUGAGACCAAUCUGCUCUCACUCUGUUCAGCCAAUGAACUUUCCUUACAUGUAUCUUAUCAUAUAGUCAUAUUAUAAUUUUUGUUUUAUAACUUACCUCAACCCACAAAGUGAAGGGAUUUUGUCUUGUGUUUCCAUGAAUCCCCUAGUACCAAAAAAGUGACUUAUACAUAUUAUCAGUUCUCUUUUUUCCUUAUGAAUUCUCACUUCAAAAAAAUCAGGGGUUAGAGGGAAUAUAUAAUGUGGUGCUAGUGGGUGAAAUAAAUUUUCUUUAGCUAUCCAGUUGUACAGGACAGAAUUCACACUGAUCAGUCUCCUGUUGAAGGUAUUCUCUUUGCCAGUUUUUUUAAAGUACAUUAUUUUGUUUUCAUGCAAACUGAAAACUAUACAUACACAAUAGUUUUGCAAACUUAUAAAACAAUUCUUUCAAAUGUAAAUUUCAUAGAAAAUUACUAAUCACCUAUAAAUAUUCCCUUUCAUAAUAAACAAAUCGAAAGAAUGCUUUCCAUUGACGUAAUGCAUCUAAUGAAAACAUUGGUAAGCAUCCAGAAAAAGUAGGCAUUUGGAGAAAGGGGAAAUAAAAAUAUGUACAUUUCUUGAAUUACGUUUUCCCUUGAUACAAAAUGACCUAGAUUGUUGGAGCUGUCAAUGUAAGAGAUGACUUUUGAAAGCAAUAAUUUAAAAUGUUGCAUAAUUACUAUGUAAUUAUGUAACAGAGCUAUUACAGAUUAAAAAAAAUUUAAUUUCAAAGCAUAGGACAAAAAAAAUAAUCAAAUUAUUUCCUAGCUAUUUACUCCACAUUUCUAUUGCCUUAUAGUUCUCCAGAUUCGAUGCAGCAUUUUUCUGUGAUUUACAAUAUUCCAGAACCAUCUAAUUCUGUAGUGGCUGUUGUGCAAUGUGUUUAACUUCUAGUUCUACUCUUGAUAUUUCAUCUUUUUUCUUUGGCUUCUGAUACUUCGUUUUCCAACAUAGCAUAAUUUAAUAGGUACAAGCUUCACUUUGAGCCAAAGUUAUUUUCCUUUUAGAAGAAAGAGGUAGGCAUUAUUGAAUUUGAUCUGGCUUUUCUUUGUCAGGUUUCUACUGCUGUGUAAUUGCUUUGUAUUGUACAUACUUGAACUGUGUGACAUGUGUGAAAAUUACUGAGUAGCACUGAAGAUUUAACUAAUUAACCCCUACGAGUGAAUGAGCAAUGCAGUUUUAUUAAGGUUUCCAUGUACACAGUAAGAAUUGACCUUUUGAAGGCUGUGUCGUUACCAUACUAACUGAUGCGUGCCUCCAACAGAAACUUAAAGCAUCUCUUGUGUAAUUAAAGGAGAAAAUUGGUAGUUUGAAUAAAACAAAUUUUAUUAGAGUUUGUGGGGGACUUUGAGUCCCCUUCAAGGGAUUAAACCCAAAAGCCUAUGUCUCACUGUAGUGCCCCUUCUGCCACCUCGAGCAACCUGGCCUGCUGCAAGGGAAGGAAUGUUGCCCAUAUCUCACCCCACCUCUAUAUAAUAUAUCUGUAUACAUACAUAACCUGUUCCUCACGCAAAUAAGGUAUCCUGCCAGAGACCAAUCAGAAGAUCAAAUAUGACCCAUAGAGAUCAAACUACACUCAGCCCUUGUACAUGGCUGUGGCAGGAGAAAUUAGUGGGCCUGGGGCAAGAAAAAUUGGGUCCCCACUCAGACCCUCAGCAUGAGGAUAUAAAAACAAUUGUAAAGCAAGGUGGGCAUGCAUACUUGCAGGGUGGUCUGCGCGAGCCCAUGUGUGCACUCUCUCAACCUCUCUUUCUCUCUCUCUGAAAAUAUACAUUUUAAUAAAUUUGUAACACUCCUGCUGUUUCAAUGCUUUGCUACAGCAGGGUAUGGAACUAGGAAACAAUGCAAUUCUAUCCUUCUGGAACAAAGUCUAUCACUUGUACUCUACUACAUUCUCUAUUGUGCAAUAUCAAAUGACAAAUUUUGUGAAAAUAUAACCAUUGCUUGACACGAUGAACUUCUAAAACUCUUUCAUAAUCUGUAAUGUCACCAUGUAGAUUCUAAAAGACAUUCUUUUCACUUGGAUAUAUCAGAAUAUGAUUUCUGUUUUGUUGUUUAUAGUGGUCAUGUGUUGGUUGGUUGGUUGAUCUGUUUUAGUUUUGUUUUCUUUGAUUUUGCUCAUUUUUUGGUCAUAGCAAUGAUGACACUUUUCCCUCUAAAAAGUUGAUAUUGCCACUUACCUGAUUCAUGUGGCUGAAACAAGUUCACAUGUCUCUGUAACUAGAGAAUGAAAGGUGAGGAAAGAAGAUAGAAAUAGAAGAGAGUCAUUUUAUAAUUUUUAAAGAUCUGAGUACCUAAUAAUUUAAUAAAAGACGUGCUGGUGAGCUGAGUGACAUAUGCACUAUUUCUGAGGCCACUGAUUCAUUAACUCAUGUGCUGAUUCAAUAAAGGAAAAAACAUUCAGGAUUCAGAGUAUUCUAGAUACUCUGUAAUGAAGACUGUAAAGACUGACAGAGUUAUCCUUGAAAAGUUGAAUUUUAAGAAAAAAACAUAUAAACAAACUAAUACUUACCAUUGAAUGUCAUAAUCCCUCUGGGGAAUAAAUUUAGAUAUUUCAGUGGGGACAGCGGACCCCAGUUCUUUCUUGCAAGUGGGAUAAAGAUUACAGAAGACAUCAAAAGUUACAGGUAUUUGGUGUUAGCCAUGUGUUAGGGUAAGCUGAAAAAUCCAUAACAAGUAGUGCUCCCUUCCAUUUCAGUGGAAGUUUAUUUCUUUUAUAUGUAAAUAUCACAGGCAAGUUUUCACAGAGCAAAGCAAUUUCUGCACACAAUUAUUUGGGCCAGACUGAUAGUUACUUGGCCUUCCAAGACACCCUGGGCAAAGUCCUUCCUUCAGCUAAAGGAGAAGAAUAUGGAGGGGUGCUUAUGGAAGAUUUUGUAGACCAAACAUAGAAGCCAUAUGCAUUUGCUCACAGAAGUUAGGGAGCCAUACCCAACUGCAAUGGAAAAUGAAAGAACUGGAGAAGAGAAAAAUUUAAUGGACUUCGAUAAUUAAAGAUAUCAGCUGAUAGAUUUUGCCUUUAAGAAAUCUUUCAAAUAAAGGCAACGAUAGCAUACUCAAAUUUUCCUGAAUUUCAGCCUGCUGGUUUAUUUUAGAAAGAAACAAGUUGUAGUUUGAGAGAAGCCAAAGUCUUUUUAUUUUGUUCUUUAGACACUGUAAGUCAGUUAUUCAAUUGUUUUGAAUAAUGAGCAGAUUUGAGCAUGUUUUUUAUUAGAGCCUAUAAAACUCAUAAAAACAUGCUUUAACCUUAGUGUAAAUAUGUUCUUUAAGCCAAUUCAACUGUUCAGAUUUAUGAUUUUUCAGUUUUGGUAGGCAAUCAGAUACCUGCUAGUCCAAAAUACCAGCUUAAAUAUCAGCAGGCUCAUUUGAUUUACAUAAUACAUUAGCAUUAGUAUUUUAAGGAAAUUGAGGGAAAGGUUAUGUUGAGAUCUGAACUAAUUAUUUUUGUUACAAAAUCUUUCAAGUGAUAAAAUAACACUGUGUUUCUCUGCUAAAAGUUAUUCCAAAAUUUUGGCAUUCUUAUGCUCAAAGUAUAUCAUACUAUAAAUCAGUUUUCCAUUUAUUGAAUAUGUACUAUGUUUAUUGGAUAUACAUAUAUACAAAUAAAUAUAAAUUGAUAACUCUCACCGAGAUAAGUUUUGAAGUUCAAACUUGGUGUGUCAGAUUAUUUAAAAAAUGACUAUUAUAGCACAGUACUGAAUAUAUACUGUAGCACAUAUAACAUAAAAAUAAUUAAGGUUAAUGAUUGUCAUUUAUAUAUUUAUUUUACCAACAUUUUUUAGCACUUACUAUGUGCAAAGAACAGCUCUACGUGCCUGAGUUACAUUAGGGAUUUUAAAAAGUCCUUGACCUCUGGUAUUUAUGUUUUAGAAGGAGAAAAAAAAUUAUAAUGAAUAAGACUAUAUAGUUUAUUAAAAAGUAAUAUGAACUAUUGUGAAAAACAGUAAUGUAGGGUAAGAGAGAUCCAGAGAGCCAAAGGAAGUGAAUUGCAAAUUUAUAUGGGUUGUUCAAGGACUACUUCAUUGUGAGAUGAUAUUUUAGUUAAGAACAAAGGAGUUAAUGGAAAUAGAACUUUGGGAGAUGGGCUUUCCAGAUAAAAGAAGUAUCACACAUGAGUGAAAAGUGAGAAGGCUGGAGUAGCAGCCCUUAGCUAGAGAAGGGGAUUGAGGCCAUAUGGUCAGAGAGGUAACUGGAAAGGAGGUGAGAAAUCUUUCAAGGUCUAAUAUGCUAUUUGAAAGACAUUGACUUUAUUCUCAGUGAAAUGAGGAAUCAUUGCAAGAUUUUGAAGAAAGGAAUUAUUGGAGUUCCUGCUAGGGCUCAAUUGCUUAAGGACCUGACAUAUAUAAGUCUUUGUGAGGAUGUGAGU
rnacentral:lncRNA from 1 species